GUGUGAUUCUGUCCUGCGGGGCUGUUCUUUUGAGCAGUGGUUGUUUAUCUCCAUCCGCCUUCUCUCCCACUUAAGUGCGUGCCGCCACCCGGUAGAAGGUUCGAUGGACAUGGACAUGAGCCCCCUGAGGCCCCAGAACUGUCUUUUUGGUCGUGAACUAAAGACCGACAAGAUUAUCAGUUUAAGGUGGACAAUGAUGAAAAUGAGCACCAGUUAUCUUUAAGAACCAUCAGUUUAGAAGCUGGUGCAAAGAAUGAAUUUCAUGUUGUUGAAGCAGAGGCAAUGAAUUACGAAGGCAGUCCAACUAAAGUAAAGUAACACUGGCAACUUUGAAAAUGUCUGUUCAGCCAGCGGUUUCCCUUGGGGGCUUGGAAAUAACACCACCAGUGGUCUUAUGAUUGAAGUGUGGUUCAGGGCCAGUUCAUAUCACAGCACUUGGUAGCUCUGGAGGAAGAUGCAGAGUCAGAAGGUGGAGAGGAGGAGGAUGUGAAACUCUUGAGUAUGUCUGGAAAGCGGUCUGCCCCUGGAGGUGGUAGCAGGGUUCCACAGAAAAAAGUAAAACUUACUGCUUCUGCUGAUGAUGAAGAAGAUGAUGAUGAUUUUGGUGAUGAGGAAACUGAAGAAAAAGCACCAGUGAAGAAAUUUAUACGCGAUACUCCAGCCAAAAAUGCACACAAGUCAAAUCAGAAUGGAAAAGACUCUAAGCCAACAUCAACACCAAGAUCAAAAGGACAAGAAUCCCUCAAAAAACAGGAAAAAACUCCUAAAACACCAAAAGGACCUAGCUCUGUAGAAGGCAUUAAAGCAAAAAUGCAAGCAAGUAUAGAAGAAGGUGGUUCCCUUCCCAAAGGGGAAGCCAAGUUCAUCAAUUAUGUGAAGAAUUGCUUCCGAAGGACUGACCAGGAGGCUGUUGAAGAUCUCUGGCAGUGGGGGAAGUCUCUUUAAGAAACUCGUUUAAACCAUUUUUUAAAAAUGUUCCAUCUUACUUCAUUUCUGUAACAGUUGAUAUCUGGCUGUCCUUUUUAUAAUGCAGAGUGAGAACUUUCCCUACCGUAUUUGAUAAAUAUUGUCCAGGUUCCAUUGCCAAGAAGGCGUUGUCCAAAGUGCCUGCAGUUUUUAAAGAUUUUUUAAAACCCUUUGCUUGGUUCUAAGUGUGUAUGAAAUGUUAUGAUAGUAGUAGUGGUGGUCAGACAUGGAAAUGGCGGGGAGACAAAAAUAUACAUGUGAAAUAAAACUCAGUAUUUUAAUUAAAAAGAAAAUUAGCCGGGCAUGGUGUUACAUGCGUUUAGUACCAGCUACUUGGGAGGCUGAGAGGCAGGGGGAUCACUUGAGCCCGGGAGGCAGAGGUUGCAGUGAGCCAAGCUGGCACCACUGCACUCCAGCCUGGGCAACAGAAUGAGACCCUGUCUCAAAAAAAAUAAAUAAAUAGAUUAAUAAAUAAACACUGAGCCAUGUCUCAGUGUGCUGGGGCUACUGUAACAAAGUGCCACACACUGGGUGGCAUGAAACAAUAGAAACUGAUUCUCUCAUACCUUGGAGGCCAGAAGUCUGAAGUCAAGGGAUGGCCAUUCUCCCUCCAAAGGCCUUCCCAGAAGGAUUCUUCAAGCUUCCAGUGGCCCAGGCAAUCCCUUGGGUCUGUGGCUGUACCUCUUCACUCUUGGCCUCCAUUGUCACCUGGCUGUCUUCUCUCCAUGUCUGUCUAUAUUUCUCCCUUUCUUUUCUUUUCUUCUUUUUCUCAGUCACCCAGGUUGGAGUGCAAUGACAUGAUCUCAGCUCACUGCAACCUCCUCCUCCUCCUGGGUUCAAGUGAUCCUCUUGCCUCAAUCCCCUGAGUAGCUGGGACUACAGGUGCCCACCACCACACCCAACUAAUUUUUGUAUUUUUAGUUGAGACAGGGUUUCACCUUGUUGAUCAGGCUGGUCUCGAACUCCUGACCUCAAGUGAUCCACCCUCUUCGGCUUCUGAAAGUGCUGGGAUUACAGGCAUGAGCCACCAUGCCUAGCCCUCUCUUUCCUUCUUAUAAGGACAUCAGUCAUUUUGGAUUUAGGGCCCAGCUUACUCCAAUAGGACCUCAUCUUAGCAUUACAUCUGCAACAAACCUAAAUAAAGUCACUUUCUGAAGUGCUAUAGGACUGUAUCUUUUGGGGGGAUGUGAUGGAAACUGUAACAGACUAUAAUUUAUAUGGAGUAAAAUGCACUGUCUUUAGUGUACAUUUCUGCACGUUUGGACAAACAGCCAUGCAACUGCCACGGCAAUCAGGACAGAAAAUUCCAUCACCCUCCAGAAGCCCUCGUGCCCUUUUGUAGUCAGCGCCUCUUGUGCCCCAGACCCUGGCAGUCAUUUGUUUCUGCUCCAUCCCUGAGUUCUGCCAUCUCGAGAACGUCCUCUGAAUGGAGUCACAGCAUGUCACCUUGUGGCUGGCCUUUUCUCAGCCUCCUGCAUGUGGUCUGCUUGUGUUGUUGUGUGACUCGGGAGUCGGUUCCUCUUUGUCGCUGAGAAUAUUUCGUCAUGUGGAUCUACCAGCGUGUUUAUCCCUUCUCUGCUGAAGCCUAUUUGGGUUGUUUCCAGUUUGGGGCGAUGACAAAUACAGGCACUAACAAAUGUUUGCAUAUUCUUUCGGAGUGGGGCCAUGCGGGCAGGCUUGCAUGUGGGCUGCUAUGUGAGGAAGGAUGUGGGGGAAGCUCAGGGAGGGGGCCGGGAAGGGGACAGUGGGGGGUCCAGGGAAGCACUGGUGCCUGGACUAGGGCCUCGGUGUCAGGGAGGGGAGAGGUGGCUCGGGGACAGGAGGGCUCACUGGAGUGUCUUGGGAGGCUGAGUGGAUGGAGCCUGGCGGGAGACGAGUGUGCGUUGUGGGAACGAGGAGGCCGCCUUUCUUCCCUCCUACCACCUCCCUCCCGGGGCGACGGCCAUUGUGGCUGAGUGUAGCUGUCUGGACAUGUGGAGGUCGAGCAGUAGAACAGUAUGGUGUGGUGGUCAGGGCUGUGAGCCCUGGAGCAAACCGCUGGGAUUCACGUUCCACUCCGUGCCUCAGUUUCCUUAUCUGUAAAAUGACAGCUCCUAAUUCAGAGUUGCUGUGUAUUGUUACAUGAGUGGAUGUAUGUAAGGACAUGGAACAGAGUCAGGAACGUAGUAGGUGCUGUUUCCAUGGUCUUCUGAAGGGCCCUGAUUCCAUACCCUCUUGUCCACUCCACUUGCAGUUGGCAGUAGUGCCUGUUGUAGCCCCCUGGAGGUGUGGACGGCAUCUUCAUCUGGGAACUGGGGGCAGGUCCCCUGACCAGGUCUGCCCUGGCUGCCUGUGGGACCUCUAGGAUGAUUGCUUGGUCCAUUCAUAUAGUGUGGAGGUGCAGGGUCAUACUGUGCCAGGUGGCAUGUGAGCAGUGUGUGGCACAGCAGCCCGCACACAGUAGGCACUUUGCAGGAGGCAUGAAGACAUGAUGGAGAGAGGCCUCGGUGACUGGUUCAUGGGACACACUCCAGUUUGGGGGCUGGCAGAGGCUCCUCAUGCCACUGCCACACAUAGCCCCUUUUCCUCCCAAAUUUGUCCUCUGUCACUGAUGGAAGCUGAUGAAGGUGGUGGCCUGUCAGCCUCUGAGCUACAUGGCCCAUGGUGAGCUGGCACCUGGCCUGGGCUCCAAGGGGAGAGGUGUCAUGGGUCCUGGUUCAAAUGGCACAGCAGCCCCCAGAAUCCAGGCCAGCUGAUGGAGACCACCCCUCACACGAGAUAGGGUUCAUGUCCAGGUUGGUUAUGAUUGAUACCAGCCUAACAAGGGGUCCUUACAGUCAGUUCUCAUUGUUCACAGAUUCUGUAUUUGCAAAUCAGCCUACUUGCUAAAAUGCAUUCGUGAGCCCCAGAUCAACCCUUUUGAAGCCAUUCGAGGACAUAGGCGCAGAGCAAUGAAAUAUUCAAGUUGUCCGAUGGGCACAUUCCCAGCUGAGGUUGAACAGGGAGAUGCUCUGUUUUCUUUCAGCUCCCAUGCUGCAAACAAGUGUCCUUGUUGAGGUCUAUUUUGUGUAAUGUUUUCAUGCUUUUUUAAGUGGUUUCACUUUUUAGGCCCCAAAGCAUAGUGUUCAACAGCUGUCUUGUGUUCCUAAGUGUAAGAAGGCUGUGAUGUGUCUUACAGAGAAAAUACAUGUGUUCAAUAAGCUUUACUCAGGCGUGAGUUAGUCCUGUUGCUGUGAGUUCAAUGUCAAUGAAUCAAGAUUAUAUAUUCAAUAAGGCGCCCUUCAACAGAGACACACAUAAAACAAGGUUAUAUAUUGAUUGGCUGAUGAAAAUGUUGUGACCAGAGGCUUACAGGAACUUAGCCUUCUAUUUCCCCUAGGAGCAAUGAUUCAGUAUUUGCUAACUCAGUGUUCAUGGUGACUUUAUAGAACAAAACCAUCAUGAAUAAUGAAAAUCAACUGUAUCUUCCUCAUGUGGAUAAAUCUGCCCCUAAACUCUCCCCUGCACUGUGCUCACUUCUACUGUCAGCCGCUCAUGCCUCUGGGUUAAGAAGUACCGGGUUUUAGCUAUGGUCUUUCUUGAAAAUGCACAAGUCCUUGGGAUAUGCACUGCCCCUCCAGUCUUGGAGCCUUGAUCCCUUCUCAUCUCCAGUGACAUUCAAGGGUUGGAAAAGACAGUUUCCAAGGAAGGAAGUGGUCAGUGCUAAUAUUUUAUUUCCUGUGAUUUUAACAGAAAGACUCUUGUAGGGAGUAGUAUCAAUCAAGGCAAAUAAAAAGCAGGGAUUUUUGAGUUUCACAGAUUUGACACUGAUAAUCACAGCGAUUAUGUCUUGAGCAUUUGCUAAGGGUCGAGAUUUUUAUCAGUUAAUGGUCAUAGCCCCCUGAGGCUGGAACUACAAUGCCCAGUUUACACGUGAGGAAACUGAGGCACAGCAAGUGAGUGGAUCAAAGCUCUUAGCAGUAGCAGAGUUGUGGCCACUUACCAGUUGAUUCAGCCACCUGAAUCCGGGUUUCUUUGAGUCCAUAUUCUCUGCCCUAGCCCCUGAACUCCCUGCAACUCUGUGCUUUAUCCAAGGUUCUUGGUCCCUUAUUGCCUUUUCUACAUCCAAGUGUGCCUGGAAGGGAUACUGCUGGAACCUCUGCAGCCUUCCAAGCCCCACUGAGGGGAUGACCUCCCCAUCCUCUACCCAAGUUAGUCCUAUGCAGACAACCCAGGUGAAGAACCUGGGAGGUGUAGAAAGGUGCACCCGGCCUCACCCACCAGUCUCUCUCUUGUCAUCUGCUGGCAAGGUCCCACCCCAUAGUUGCUGUCCUUGGAGUCUUUGGGGGUCAUUGAGCCUGGGUAGGAUGGGUGUGCCUUGGAGUUUUGGGGAGUCAUUGUAACCUGGGUGGGAUGGGUGUGCCUGUCGUGCCUUGGAACUCCUCUUUUUAGCAUCUUACCUCCUCAUUGCCUCGCUGUUGUCCCCAAAGUUAAUUCAACAGUAUCUUCAUCAGCUUGGGCUACAAACAGUGGGGAUUGGGUGGGGGUACAAACAGUGGGAAUUUAUUUCUUGUGGUUCUGGAGGCUGGGAAGUCCAAGAUGAAGGCAGCAGCAGAUUCUGUGUGUGGCGAGGCCCAGUCACCAAACACCAAACACUGUCAUAGAUGGAAUGUGUGUGUCCCCCCAAAAUGUUUAUGGUGAAAUCCUAUCCUCUCAGGAGACACGAACACUUAGUCUAUGACACUUGUGCCAGUAUUUCAAUAAAAUACUGGCAAGUGUUUUAGUGUCACACUUAGUGUAUGACAGCCAGUGUCCUGAGCUUCCUCUAACCUCCCACUCUUGAAAACUCACCCACAGUGACUUCAUGCCUUUGCACAAGGGACUUUGCAUGCUUUAUAAUCUGAUGGGGGCAGGUGGACAUAUAUGUUAACAGGGAACAAAACCCUGGUGGUGGGAUUUCCAGCCAGGGGUGCCAAGUCCAUUUGCUUUGCAAGGGCACCUGGGCCUGGCAGACGGCCCCGUCAAGAGGCGUCAGGACUGUAGUCGGCCUGGGGUAGGCACAUGACACGUUUAUUCCCCAGCAGAGGAAAUGUGGUCACAGCAACUAUUAGGUGGGUUGCAGGGUGACUCAGUGUCGCCAGGGGGUGGAAGGAAUGUGAUGCUGAUGUAGUUUCCUGCAAGGGGCGGGUCAGGGCUGCUCUCCUUGGCCUGCACCCUCACGACACUAACAGUGCCCCUGGGAGGGUGGCUGUGGAGAACCAGCAGUGUGUUCUGACCUCCCCCCAGUGUAGAAAUGGUAGUUCACUCUGCCAAAGCACAUUUCCCAUCUCCCUAGUUAUUUUAAACCCCUCCCCCUAGUAAGCCCUUGACAAAAGUGGAGGCAAGUCUCCUUUUUUUUUUUUGAAACCGAGUCUCACUCUGUCACCCAGGCUGUAGAGUACAGUGGCGCGAUCUCGGCUCACUGCAAUCUCCGCCUCCCAGAUUCAAGCGAUUCUCCUGCCUCAGCCUCCUGAGUAGCUGGGACUACAGGUGCAUGCAACCAUGCCUGGCUGAUUUUUAGUAGAGAUGGGUUUUCAUCAUGUUGGCCAGGCUAUUCUUGAACUCUUGCCCUCAAAUGGUCCACCCGCCUUAGCCUCUCAAAGUGCCCUCUCAAAGGGAUUACAGGCAUGACUCCCUUCUUUUAUCUUACUGCUAAGAGAACCUAGGCUCAUUGAAGGAGGGAGACUUGCUUAAGGUCACACAGGAAGCGAACAGCAACAGGCUAGAAUAGACCCCAGCUGCCUUUCCAGCAUACAGUGGUUUCUGCACCACCCAGAGCUGCCCAGGAUGAGUACUGUCCACAGCCACUAUUAAUUGACCCACUGUUAAGCACCAGAUGCCUUAGUUCUUCUGGUCCUCACAGCUAAUCCUAUGGGGUCAUCUCAUUUUAGACACUAGCCAGCCUCAGAGCAGAAGGCAGGCAGGGCACCCAGGCUCCUUAUCCUCCCUUCUGGGGGAGGUUGUGUCUACCAUGGUGUAAUUCUUCCCCACUCCCUCUCCCUCCUCAGCCUCAGCAGGGGAGGGGGAGGCUGCAGUCUCCUCUCCGUGUCCCCCACUCAACUCCAGAUGAUGAGGAACCGCUGAGUAAGCAGCAGGCAGGACAGAGGCAGGGGUCACAGGGCCACGGUGGGAUGUGUGGGCCGCCACGUGUUGCAGGUGCUCCCAGAGGAGGGGCAGUCUCCCCAGAGCUGUCUGAGCCUCUAGCCCUCUUGCUCAUUUUCCCAGCCCGGUCUGUUUCUGGGCAGGAGAAGGCAGCAGAAGGAAGGUGAGCAUGGGAGCUGGGAGGCUCUUGAAGGCCAGGGAGCUUUGGAGGGGAUGAGAUCCAGGAGUCUCAUCUCAGGCAAAGACCAGGCCCGGGAAGUGGCCUUGAAAUGUGCUAGCCUCCCGUGGCAGCUCCCAGGAGGAGGGGCUGGUAAACAGAUAGCACAGGACUGAUUUGUGUUCCUGAAGAACUUUCCAAACAGCGUGGUGGCUAAAGGUAAUAAUACUCAACAUGCGUCUAGUUCUCCUUCUGUUUGAAAACAAAUCCCACAAAUAAUACGUGAAUUCACAUAUACACUGAAAAGAUGUAAACUUUAGAAAAGUCUAGAUCUGCACUGUCCAGGGUGAUAGCCACUAGUCACAUGUAGCUAUUUUACAGGUUAGAUUCAUUAAAAUGUGGCAGUAGCACAACCAUUAUGGAAAACAGUGUACGGAUUCCUUAAGGAACUAAAAGUAGAUCUACCAUUUGAUCCAGCAAUCCCACUACUGGGUAUGUAUCCAGACGGAAAGAAGUCAUAUGAAAAGAUACUUGCACACACCCAAAGUUUAUAGCAGCACAAUUCACAAUUGCAAAAGUAUGGGAUCAGCCCAAAUGUCCAUCAGUCAACGAGUGGAUAAAGAAAUUGUGGUCUAUAUGUAUGAUGGAAUACUACUCAGCUCUAAAAAGGAAUGAAUUGAUAGCAUUCGCAGCAACCUGCAUGGGAUUGGAGACUAUGAUUCUAAGUGAAGUAACAUCGUAUGUUCUCGCUCCUAAGUGGGAGCUAAGCUACGAGGAUGCAAAGGCGUAAGAAUAAUACACUGGACUUUGAGGACUUGGGGGAAAGGGUGAGAGGGGGUAAGAGAAAAAGACUGCAAAUUGGGUAUAGGGUACACUGCUCAGGUGAUGGGUGUACCAGAAUCUCAGAAAUCACCACAAAGAACUUAGGUAACCAAAUACCACCUGUUCCCCCAAAAAACCUAUGUAAAUAAACAAAUGUUUUAUUAAUAUGGCAAUAGCCUCAUUUCAAGUGCUUAAUAACCACAUAUGGCUUGUGGUGACCAUACUGGAUGGUACAGGUAAAGAAAAUUUCCAGCAAUGACAAAAUUCUGUUGGACAGCACUAGCUAGACCAGAAACUAGGAAACCCUACCAGUCAAAAUAUCAUGUUUGGAAUCAGCUUGGUUCCUUUGGGCUUGUUUUAUAUAUGUUUGCGUAUUUGUGGCUAUCCAUAGAGUUAGACUUCUUGAGUUUAUAAACUCUCUCCACAUAAUGAUUGUAUCUGAUCUGCCUAGCAGCUGGGUGCCCUGCCUGCCUUCCGCUCUGAGGCUGGCCAGUGUCUAUGGGUAAGAGAAUAAUGUUCCCCAUUUAAAAAAAUUACAUCCUUUGAGUCAUAUGUCAACUUAGGUUCAUAGAGUAGCUGAGUAAAUGAGGCUGGUGUGGUAGCUCACACCUGUAAUCCUAGCACUUUGGGAGGUUGAGGUGGGCGGAUUACUUGAGGUCAGGAGUUCGAAAACAGCCUGGUCAUUAUGGUGAAACCUCAUCUCUACUAAAAAUACAAAAAUUAGCUGGGUAAUCCCAGCUGUUCGGGAGGCUGAGGCAGGAGAAUCACUUGAACUGAGAGGCAGAGGUUGCAAUGAGCUGAGAUUAUGCCACUACACUCCAGCCUGGGCAACAGAGUGAGACUCCAUCUCAAAAAAAAAAUAUAUAUAUAUAUAAAUGGACAAGUGAGGAGAGGUUGCAAUGGGUUUGUUCCUUCGGGACAGAGAGGUUCUUGCCCUGGUUUUGUCCAGAGCAGCCGAGGGGCAGCCAGGCAGCGCGGCUCUUCUCAAAUCCCUACACCUUCCACUGUCUUGUAUGUGAGAGAGAGGCUCUAACAAGCACAUUGAUCUGGGAAGGCUCAUGCCCCAGUGUCUAUUCUCCCAUUUUUAUUGUUUCCCCUAAAGUCUUCACCUAUUAUUUUGAUUGUCAUCAUAAUACACAUUUACUGUAAAAAUAUGGAGUGUUCAGAAAGUGCAAAGGAGGAGAAAGAAAUCACUUUAUCUCAGGAUUAACUGCCACGGUUGUGCCAGUUUCCACUCCCACCUACAGAAUAGGAGAGCUGCGGCUCUUCUGCAUCCUCCCUAGGCCUUGGAAGUGUCAGCCUCCAUUGUGACACCCAUGGAGAUGGGCCGUUGCUGUUCUGUUUAUGAUAUCCUGAUCCUCUUGCUGUUGAGAAUCUUUUCAUAUACUCGUGGCCAUGUGGAGAUCCACCGUAAGAAGCACCGGGUCAAGCCUCUCGCUCAUUUCCCUGUUUGUUAUCUUUUCCCUGUUGCUGUGGGCAGUGUAGUUAUGAGCCCUUUGUUGGUUGUGUCUGUAAAUAUAUCUUCUCUCACUCAGGGCUUGUGCUAUCAUUCUUGUUUUCUUUUUUUUUUGUUUUGAGACAGGGUCUUGCUCUGUUGCCCAGGCUGGAGUGCAGUGGCAUGAUCUUGGCUCACUGCAGCCUCUGCCUCCUGGGUGAGCUUUCAUUCUCCUUAUGAUGUCUUGAUGAACAGGAAGUCUUUGUUUUACUGCAUUCAGUUUCAUCGGUCCUUUCUUUUAAGAUUGGCAGAUGUGUGUGUGUGUGUGUGCAGGCACGUGCAUGCUUUUUCAGAAGUCUCUCCACCAUCAGAUUAUGAAGACAUUCUUUACUUUCUUCUACAAGCUUUUUUGUUUUACCUUCCACCUUUAGGUUAGGACACAGUCUACCCAGAACUGAUUUUUUUGUUUGUUUGUUUGUUUUUUGAGAUGGAGUCUCAUUCUUGUCACCCAGGUUGGCAUGCAGUGGCAUGAUCUCAGCUCACAGCAACCUCCAUCUCCCAAGUUCAAGUGAUUGUUUUGCCUCAGCCUACUGAGUAGCUGGGAUUAUAGGCACACGCCACCAUGCCCAGCCAAUUUUUAUACUUUUAGUAGACACAGGGUUUUGCCAUGUUGGCCAGGCUGGUCUCAAACUCCUAACCUCAGGUGAUCUGCCCGCCUCGGCCUCCCAUAGUGCUAGGAUUAGAGGUAUGAGCCACCACACCCAGUCUCUCUCUGCUUUUUUUAUUGAACACCUUUGGGGUUCCCAUUGGGAUCGUACUGAUUCUGUAUACCUGUUUGUGUAGAAUUGAUGCCUUGUCAAUAUUGUCUUCCACUCCAUGGACAAAAUCUGUCCUUCCAUCCCUGCUUCUCCUAUUGUGUGUCUGUGAUAUUUAAUGUUUAUAUCAUAAGCAGGCAUCAGUAGAAAUUUGCCAGUGAUUAGAAACAUAGACUAUUGACUCAAGAAACUGCCAGGGUUCAUAUCCCCACGCUGCCACUGGCUAAUUCUGUAGCCUUAGUGAGUUAACUUCUCUGUGUCUUGGUUUCUUCCUCUCUAAAAUGGGAAUGACAGCCAGAGUAAUCUUAUAGCGUUCUUUUAAAGAAUUAACUUGGUUAAUAUAUGUUAACCAGACACAGCAAUGCAUGGCACACAGUAAAUAGUAAACUCUGGAAACAUAAUUUAUUUCUGCGUAGGUAAUAUGCUCAUACGAUUUAAAACAAAAAUAUAUAGAGAAAAAGAUGUACAGGGAAGACAUAUUCCCACCUUGGUCCCUUCAGGUCCCUGUUUAUACCCCUUCCUGACUGCUAGUGUCCUGUAUCGUCUUCCAGAGUUUCUUUAUGCAAAUACAGAUAAUUACUUUUUUUUCCAACAAGGGAGCACAGUAUACAUACUGUUCUGUAUGUAUGUAAGUGGGUAAUAUUUCCUUAACCACUUAGUGGUUGGGUUGUUUCAUAUGAUACUAAUAUCUCCUAUUACUUCCUACGUCGCUUUUGUCCUUCAACCACACACCCGCCCUAGGAAUCUUUCCACAUCAGUACACAGAAAGUAUUCUUGUGAUUCUUCUUAGAGUUGUGGAGUAUUCCAUUCAUUUCCCUGGUCCCUUAUUGAUGGACAUUUAGAUUGUUUCCAGUCUUUUCUCCAUGGCAGACAACGCUCCCCUGAAUCCAGUGAGUACUUUUGUCUAUGCGUCCUUUUGCAACCAUACAUAUGAGUUCCCACAAUUGCUGGGUCAAGGGGCCUAUGUGUUUGCAAUUGUGAUAGAAGUUACUGAACAGCCCUCAGUGAAGACUGUACUAAUUUAUGCUUCCUCCAGUUAUAAGUGAGUACCUUAGGGACUAUUUUUGAUGGCUAUAUAUUAUUCCAGUGUUUGUAUGAGGUUGAACAUCUCAAAUUGCUUUCUUUCUAGGUCAAAAAUGGUUGGAUGUUGCCAGUUUCAUAUGGUACUAAUAUUCCUUAACCACUCCACUGUUGAACACUCUUUCUUGAGCCCUUAUUCUAUGUUGGGCUUGGGCAUGCGGUGGUAGAUAGGCCAGACACUGGAACAAAAGCUUGAGUUUGGGGGGAGACCGGCACCUUACAGGCAGUAUCGUUUGACUGUUUCCAGUUUUCCACAACUGCAAGUCAUGUGACAGUGAACAUCUUUGUCCAUUAAGCUUCAUUUGCAUUUCAAAAGUAUCUCUUUGAGAUCUAGAAGCAAAAUGGCCUGCACUGUGCAGUCUUAGCCAGAAAAAGAGCACAGAGUUCUCUAAAUAUGCCUGUACACAGCCCAGCUCAGUACCACAUAUGAAUACUCUUAAGGGAAACUAUUUUUCAAAGUUUCAAGUUGUGUUAUUUUUUGAGUAGGCAAUAUAGUCACACGGUUCAAAUUCCAAGGGUACAAAAGGGUGUACACCCUGUCCCCAGGCCUCCCAGGCCAUCUCCAGGGAUGCCACCUGAUCAUUCUCAGGUCUGUCCUUGCAGAGAUGGCCUUGGCUUGUCCUAAUAUACAUGACAGGCGUACUUAGGGCCUGCCUGUUGCCCUUGGUGACCUGGUUCUUGUGUCUUUGCUGCCUCCAGCUUCAGUCCCAGCCAGGUCAUUGGUCCCUAAAUCCUGUCUUCUCCAGUAACUAUCUCCAUGUUCAGUGACGUUUCUGGGGACCUUGGGGUGGGGGGACGUCAGCUGCACUUUCAUAUGACUAUUAUUGUAAUUGUUACAACGUUAUGCCCAGAAUAGGGUCUGAGCCGAUAGUAGGUACUGAAUAAAUAACUUACUGGGAGAAUGAAUCGUUGAUGCUAACGUCACUGAAUGUUUGCUGUACUCCAGUCAACUGUCCUGAACUCUUUACAGCAAACCCAUAAGGUAUUAAUUUAUGUUUCCCAUUUUAAAUAUAAGCAAAUUGAGGCAAAGAGAGGCUGAGUCACUUGUGAAGGCCACCGAGCUGGGAUUCGAACCCAGGCUGCCCGGUUCUCAAGUCCAUGCUUAAACCACUACACCGCAUAGCUCUGGUUGAUGACUGAAGGCUGAAUUGCAUGCAGCACCAGGGACAGGAUUGGUGCCGUCAUCUGGGUCCUGGUGGGAGUGGACACACCUGCCCAGAACAGGUGGUGCGGUCAGCAGGACAGGCAGGCUGAGUCAGCUUAGGCCUUUCCCUAUCUGGGUCAUCCUGGAUGACCACCCCAUCCUGGAUGACCCAGAUAGGGAAAGUGGCUAGGACCUUUGAACCAGAGAAGAUUCCAGAGGGAGGGAGGGUGGAGGAACUGGAAGUCAAGGUUCCUAGGAGGCUUGGGGUUUCCAGGGUUCACAAGAGCAGAGCCCAAGAAGACAGAGCAGCUGGGAGUAGAGGCUCAGCAGAGCAAAGCCAUGAGCUAUCAACCACAGUGGCUGAGUAGGGGCCCCGGGGUGGGCCUGGCAUGGUGGGAGCCACCAUCAGAAGGGCCUCAGCACUGAAGCUGGCUGCCUCCGCUGACUCCACCAGGACUCCACACUGCGUGGUCAGUGUAGACAGGUAGAGCCCAGUGGGGACAGCAGGGCACCUGGCUGGAGUCAGGAAGGCAAGGCUGGUAGCUGGAGAGUGCUGGACACACACUGAGUGACAGAAACCAUGCAGCACACACAGAUGUGGAAAGCUUGAAGGCCUUUGACCUGUCAGACCCCUUGAUGUGGGCUGUGAUGUGUGAGCUGAGGCAGUCUGGCCUGCUCUCAGCACUUCCGAGGUCCUGAAGACCUGCCUAAACUGACUUUCCCUGUUUGAGGCUGUGGGCAGGGGCCCGCAGAACCCAUCCCCUGUUCCUGUGGCUGACCCACCGAGGGGCCUUAGGCUGCACUCUAUUCCCCCAACCCUAAUGGAAGGUCUUUUGGUUUCCUAAGGGAGGAGAAACCCAGGGAACUUUUUCACAAGAUUUUCCAGACACUGUUCUUGGAGCCACAAGCAUCUAUGGAAACCCGCCAGGGCCCUGUAUGGUGGUUUAGCCCCUGGAAGUAGGCUGAAGGCAUGUGUUGAGCGUUUGUGCUUCGUGCAUGUGUGCGAGUUCCUGGUUCUGAAACUGCUACUUCUCUUCCAUCCCCACGGGACCUCCGUGGUCAGCUUGGAAAUGUGUUUUUGUUUCUGUGUGCACCAAAGCCUGGGCCAGAGGUGGAAUGAGGAAGCAGCUGUGGCUUAGCUUCACACACAUCUAGGAAGAAGGAUCUGGCAGACCCGAAGCCACGGAGAAGCCUGCCUGGCUGCCUGCCUUCUUCUGGGCUGUCCAUUGGGGCAGGGCCAGUCUGGCUUGGAAGAGAAGCCUUCAGGUGGUGGCUAGCCAAGGGUCGGUACAGAGUUGUGGAAUUUAUGAUGCUGGAAGAAACCUUAGUCCUUGAUCUGAUCCAUGCUCAGGAAAUACAUAGCUCAGCUGCUGCUGCUCUCCCAGGCAGAGCCCAUGGCACUCGUCACCAGUAGAUCCCUGCAUUCUCUCAGCUGAGCCCUCGGCAGAACAGAGUCUAGGCAGCUGUUGUCAGUCAACUGGGGUUCCCGUUGGGAGUUCAACCUACUUGGCCUCCCAGAUCUGGUUCAACCUACUGUUUGUAUUGAAGAGGCUGCUGAACCUGGAGAAGGAAAGUGAAUUGCCCAAAGUCACAUAGUAAAUAACAGAACCAGACAAUGCCAUUUCCUUUAUAUCAUACCCAUUCUUCUGAUGGUUUUACAGCAUUGCCACGUUACCACCCAUCUCAUAAACCCUUGUUAUCUCCGUUCAUCUCCACAAUGGGAUUCCACUAUCCAAAUUCAAAUUAAUUUCCCAAAAGCAUUGUGGAGCUACAGAAAAACUGAUGUUAGGUUAUGUUAAUACAAGUAGAGUAUCUAGACUGAGAGAGGUGAUGGUCACACUCCUUUCUGUGCUGCUCAGAGCACACCUGAGUAUUGUUUCUAUUUGGGGACUCCACAUUUCAGAGGUACAAAGAAAAAAGGAUACUCAUUAUACUCAAAAGGAUAAAAGCAGUAUGAUAAAGAGGCACAGAACCACUCCAUGUUUUAUGGUCAUUAGAUUUUUGACAAGGCUGCCAGAACAAUUCAAUGGAGAAAGAAUCGUCUUUCAACAAAUGGUGCUGGAACAAUUUGGGAUAUCCACAUGCAAAAUAAUAAAGUCAGACCCUACCUCACACCAUAUAUAAAAACUAACUCAAAAUGGGACAAAGAUCUAAAUCUAAGAGUUGAAAUGUUAGAACUUUUAGAAGAAAACAGGGAUAAAUUUUCAUGAUCUGAGACUAGGUCAUGGUUUCUUAGGUAUCACUAAAACCACAAACAACAGAAGAAAAACUAGACAAAUUGGACUUCUUAGAUUAAAACCUUUGUGUUUCAAAGGACACUCUCAAGAAAGUGGAAACGCAAUCCAUAGAAUGGGAGGAAAUAUUUGCAAAUCAUAUCUCUGAUAAGGGACUUAUAUCCAGAAUAUAUUAAAAAUUUACAACUCAGUAAUAGAAGACCCAAUUCAAAAAUAGGUAAAGGAUCUGAAUAAACAUUUCUCCAGAGAAGAUAUACAAACGGCCAAUAAUGGGCCAGGCAUGGUAGCUUAUGCCUGUAAUCCCAAUACUUUGGAAAGCUGAGGCAGGAGGAUUGCUUGAGUCUAGGAGUUUGAGACCAGCCUGGGCAACAUAGACCCUGUUAUACAAAAAAUAAAAAUUAGCCAGGUGUGGUGACACACCUGUGGUCCCAGCUACUUGGCAGACUGAGGUCAGUGUAGGUGGAUCACUUGAGCCUAGAGGUCAAGGUUUCCAUGAGCCAUGAUCAUACCACUGCACUUCAGCCUAGGUGACAGAGCAAGACCCCAUCUCAAAAAAAAAAAAAAAAAAAAAACCAGCUAAAAAUGAACAGAUGCUCAACAUCAGUAGCCACCAUAGAAUUGCAAAUCCAAACACAAUGAGACACAUAGAUUGGCCAUAGUCAAAAAGACAGUAACAAGUGUUGGAAAAGUGAUGGAGAAAUUAGAACCCUCAUAUGCUGCUGGUGGGAAUGUAAAAUGGCGUCUCCACUUUGGAAGACAGUCUGGUAGCUCCUCAAAAUACUAAACACAGAAUUACCAUAAAAUCCAGCAAUUCCACACGCAGAUAUGUACCCAAGGGAACUGAAAACAUACGUUCCACACAAACAUUUGCACAUGAAUAUUAGCAGCAUUAUUUGUGAUGUCCCCAAGCUGGAAACUACUCACAUGUUAGUCAGCUGAAGAAUGGCUAAGUGAAAUGUGGUGUUUCCAUAAGGUGGAAUGUUACUUGGUGAUAAAAAGAAAUGAAACAUUGAUAUAGAAGUACCGAUCAAUUCCACUAGCUGCUAGUACAUGGAUGAACCUUGAACACGUGAUGCCAAGUGAAAGCCAGACACAAAAGGCCACAUAGGGUAUGACUCCAUUUAUAGGAAAUGUCCGGAAUAAGCAAGUCUACAAAGACUGAAAGAUUAGUGGUUGCCUCAGGCUAGAGGGAAGGGGUCAGGGGUGAGGAGGAGUGACUGCUCAUAAGUAAGGGAUUUCUUUGUGGGGUGAUGAAUAUGUACUAAAAUUGAUUGUGGGGUGGUUGCACAACUCUGUGACUAUGUUAAAAACCACUGAAUUGGUUACUUUAAAUGCCGUUAAGAAACAAAGUACUCUAUCUGGAAAUUCUUGGAGACACCCAACUUAGUGUGAACCACAGCUGACAAACCUUCCCUCUAGGGUGGUAGAUGCACAAGCCAUCUUCCCAUAGUUUAGAGGCUUUAUGGGGAGCAGGGGGAGUUGUCCUCAUGGCCCGGUAAAAUGUAGAAAAAGCAAUAAGAGGAAACAUUUCAGGGGAACAGAUGAAAUCUCAGAUAGAAUUUGAGAAUUACUUCGCAGAAUGGGUUGCCCAGUGAGGUAGCUAGCUCAUGAGAUUAAAGGUCUUCAAACAGAUACAGCUGCGGCUUGCUAGGGAUGGUAGAGAGGGAACCAAAGGAGUAGGCUCUCAAAAGCCUAUUGUUAACUAACCAGAAAUCUUGCUAGCUAGGUGUAAACCUUUGGAGAGCUUGACCUCAGCAAUGAUGGGAGUGUUUACGCCCUGGAAACUGGCAAUUGCUUCACAUCAUGGCUUUUGCUUUUUUUUUAAAUCUUGGCUCACUGCAACCUCCUGGGUUCAAGUGAUUUUCCUGCCUCAGCCUCUCAAGUAGCUGGGAUUACAGGCGCCCGCCACCAUGCCUAAUUUUUUAAUUUUUAGUAGAGAUGGGGUUUCACUAUGUUGGCCAGGCUGGGAGGCUUUUGCUUUUUAUUUACUUAUUCACUGUCCUAGACAGGUGUUUUAUUGGAACACCUCUGAUUUAUGCUCCAAGAGGUAUCUCUGUGUGCUCACCUGCCUUCAAAUAUUCCCAGAUCCACCUCCCAGCCCAGUGGGAAUUCCUUCCCUGCUCUGUUCCAUGCCUCUAUCAACCCUAGCAUCCUCCAUAAACUGUUCCUGAACCACCUCCCUUCCCCCUCCACCCCAUCUCAUUUGGUAAUUACCACUUGCUAAGUAAGAGUCAGCUGUGGGCUGGGUUCUUUAGUUACACUGUCCCAUUUAGUUCCUAUCCUUGGGGUGGGUGGCAGAGUCUCCCUGCUUUACACAAGAGGACACUGAGGCUCAAAGAGGUGAGGCGCUCACGAGGAUCACAGGUCCUGCCCAGCCUGAAGCCUGUAUCUGUUUAUUACACCAUGGAAUGAGGAGUGAGGAGUUCUCCCAGCCCCAAUUGCCUGAAGCCCACAUUGCGCUCUUCCCUCUUACGUCUCUCCCGGAACUGGGACAUUCAGGGUAAGGUGUCCUCUGGCAUCAGCUGUUCUUUGGCCCCAGUGACUUUCUCUGGCUUCUGCUCUGGUGGCUUUGUGACAGCUGCCAGAGGGGGGUCCCAAAAAGUCCGCUGGGGCUGAUUCUUUGGAUGGCCAGUUGAAUCUAUUCCUGAGGCUAGACUCAUUUUGAUGACCUUCCAACAUGGGGCUCUCAGGCUUCUGAACUAACUUUAAAAUGCCAAGAAAAAAGCAGCUGAUGGUCAUGGGGACAUGGCACUGGCAGAAGGAACAGGCCUAGGUGCCUUGGGCUCUGCUCCACUCCACAUUUCCUGGACUUGGGUAUGCUCUGGGACCCCGGGGUAGGUAUGUGUGUAUGCAUGUGAGCUUUUUUUGUUUGUUUGUUUUUGAAUUAAAUAUCAGUGUAGAGAAGUCUAGAGAAAAACUUUGCAAGGCCUUAGCACCCAUAAUUCAGCUUUGUUAAUUCCUAUCACUUUGCCAUGUUUGUUUCAGAUCUUCUGGUUCGGUUUGAUAAAUAAAUGGUUGCAGAACUAGUUGGAACCUCCUUUGUACCCCUCCCUGAUCCUAUCUUUUUCCUCAGCCCAAGGGCAGACAUCUUGCUGAAUUUGGUGUGUGCAUGUCUCCUAUAUCCACAAACAGGAUAUAGGACUGUGGUGCGGGUUUUUAUAUACUUUAUAUAAAUGUUUUCAUUCCUUCUGUAAUUUGCUUAUUUCAUUCAACAUUAAGGUUGAUUUUUUGGUUUGUUUUUGUUUGAUUGCUUUUAAAACUUUUUCUUUUAACUUUUUGUUUUGACAUGAUUUCAGACUUCCAGAAAAGUUACGGAAUAGUCCAGUGAAUUCUUGCUUGUAUACUCCUUUCACCAGAUUCACUCAUUGUGAACAUUUUGUCACAUUUCCUUGUUUAUUUUUUUCUUUUCUUUCUUUCUUUCUUUUUUUUUUUUUUCUUUUUUGAAAUGGGGUCUCACUCUGUCACCCAGGCUGGAGUGCAGUGGCACGAUCACUGCUCACUGCAGCCUUGAUCUCCCCGGGCUCAGGUGGUCCUCCCACCUUAGCCUCCCAAGUAGGUGGGACAAUAGGCUCGCACUACCAAGCCUGGCUUCUAAUUCUUUUCUAAAUGAUUUUGAGAGUAAGUUGCAGACAUUUUAUCUCUUUACCCCACAUACUUAAGUGGAUAUUUCUCAAAGACAAGGACCAAAAUCAGGAAAUUAAUAUUCAUUCAAUAAACAGAAUUUAGAGAUUUAACCAUCUGUGUAGCAUUGAGUCCGACCCCCUCUUUCCUUCCCCUUCUUUUCUUCAAGACAUAUUCUCACUCUGUCGCCCAAGCCCGAGUGCAGUGGCACGAUCUCGGCUCACUGCAACCUCUGCUUCCCCAGUUCAAGCGAUUCUCCUGCCUCUCCUACUCUCCUGAGUAGCUGGGACUAUAGGCCUGUACCACCACACCUGGCUUCUAGUUUUUUUCUAAAUGAUUUGAGAGUAAGUUGCAGACAUUUUAUCUCUUUACACCACAUACCUCAGUGGGUAUUUCUCAAAGACAAGAACCAAAAUCAGGAAAUUAACAUUUAUGCAAUAAACAGAAUUUUGAGAUUUAACCAUCUGUGUUGCAUUGAUUCCGGCCCUUUUCUCUCUCUCUCUCUCUCUCUUUCUUUUUCUUUGUUUUGUUUUGUUUUUUUGAGACAUAGUCACACUCUGUCACCCAGGCUGAAGUGCAGUGGCACAAUCUUGGCUCACUGCAACCUCUGCUUCCCAGGUUCGAGCAAUUCUCCUGCCUCAGCCACCUGAGUAGCUUGGACUACAGGCACCCACCACCACACCUGGCUAAGUUUUGUAUUUUUAGUAGAGACUAAAGUUUCACCAGGUUGGCCAGGCUGGUCUCAAACUCCUGACCUCAAAUGAUCCACCCAUCUUGGCCUCCCAAAGUGCUGGGAUCACAGGCAGGAGCCACUGCACCCGGCCCCUGGCCAUUUAUUUUAUUGAUAAAUAGUAGGUGUAAAUAUUUUUGGGGUACAUGUGAUCUUCUGAUACGUAAUAUAAUGUGUUACAAUCAAAUCAGGAGAAUUGAGAUAUCCAUCACCUUAAAUGUUUAUCUUUUCUUUAUGCUGGGAACAUUUAAAUUAUUCUUGUUGUUUUGCUAUAUACAAUAGGUUAAUGUCUACUGUAGCCACUCCACUGAUUUAUUGAGUUUCCUGCCUUUUAACAGCUAUGUGAUUAUCCGGGAUGGACUGAGUCACGUUUUGUUUAUCCAUUCUCUUAUGGUGGCCAUUGGCUUUCUCCACUUUCUCUUUGUUGUAAAUGCUGCAGCUGCGGCUAUCUGUAAACACGGGUGUCCAGGGAGUGGGGCUGCUGGAAUGUGGCCUCCGGCAUUUCUUUUAAGUGUUGACAGGUCCUCAUCAUAGUUGGCGCAACUUUUUAUUCUCGGGGGAGCUUUGCUCCUCCCCAGCCUCAGAUCAUCCCUCCUGAGGAGCAAGUGAGGAGCAGUUGGGGUAAGCAGGGCGUUUUGGAGAAUGAGAAGAUGUGCCUGGUAGACUAGGUUGGCAGGGUCCCCAAAGCAAUCGGUGUCCCUGGGAGAGAGGGCAUGACCCUAUGUGUGGUUGCUACAUCCAGAAAAAUGUGACCUAUUAGAGGCGUUAUUAUGGGCCAGGUAUUACCAGCUCCAUUGUACAGAUAAGAAAACUGUUGGCCAGGCAAGGUGAUUCAAGCCUGUCAUCCCAGCACUUUGAGAGGCUGAGGAGGGCAGAUUACGAGGUCCCUCCUGGCCAACAUGGUGAAACCCUGUCUCUACUAAAAAUACAAAAAUUAGCUGGGCAUGGUGCCGUGUGCCUGUAGUCCCAGCUACUCAGGAGGCCGAGGCAGAAGAAUCGCUUGAUCCUGGGAGGUAGAGGUUACAGUGAGCCGAGAUGGCACCACUGUACUCCAGCCUGGUGACAAAGCAAGACUCCAUCUCAAAAGAAAAACCUGUUCAUUUAAGAUAAUUUUUAUUUAUUUUAUUAUUAUUACUGUUGAGACAGGGUCCUGCACUGUCACCCAGGCUGGAGUGCAUUAGUGUGAACACAGCUUACUGCAACCUCAACCUCCUGCCUCAGCCUUCUGAGUAGCUGGGACCACAGGUACACACGUAGGUGCCCAGCUGAUUAUUUUGAUUUUUUGUAGAGGUAGUGUCUUACCAUUUUGCCCAGGCUGGUUUCAAACUCCUCAACUGUAGUUGUCCUCCCACCUCAGCCUCCCAAAGUGCUGGGAUUACAGGCAUGAGUCACUGUGCCUGGCCUAUUUAAGAUGCUUUUUUCUUCUUUCUUGAGAGUCUCACUCUGUCACCCAGGGUAGAGUGUAGUGGUGGGAUCUCAGCUCACUGCAGCCUCUGCCUUCCUGGUUCAAGUGAUUCUCCUGCCUCAUCCUUCCAAGUAGCUGGGAUUAUAGGCAUGUGUUGCCAUGCCCAGCCAAUUUUUGUAUUUUUAGUAGAGAUGGGGUUUUACCAUAUUGGCCAGGCUGGUUUCAAACUCCUGACCUAGGUGAUCUGCCUGCCUCAGCCUUCCAAAGUACUGGGAUUACAGGCGUGAGCCACCAUGCCUGGCCUAUUUAGAUGAUUUUAAAUCAUGUUAGUGACGCAUAAUUAUUAUAAAACUUUGAAACAAACCACCUUCAUUUCUCUAAAAUAACUCGAUAUCUUACAUAGCCUUCUGGAAAGUAUUUCUACUGUGUGUGUUUGUAUGUAUUCCCAAGUGGAAUAAUGAACAUUAUUGAACACCCUUUCUUUACCAGGUACUGCAAGGAUAUGUAAACAUUAAUUUUUUUUUUUUUUUUUUAACUUUCAAGAGCUAGAAGAGUAGAGUGGUUAGAAGCAUAGACUCUGGAGCCAGAAUGCCAGGGUUCGAAUCCCAGUUCUGCCACGCAUUGGCUGUGUGACCUUGGGUGAAUUAUUUAACCUCUCUGUGCCUCUGUGUCUCCAUCUUUACAUGGCAGCACUAGGUGUAGCAUAGGUAUAUUCGGUUCCUAGGGCUGCAGUAGCAAGUUACCACUAGCUUUGCAGCUCAGAGCAGCAGACAUUUAUUUUCUCAUGGUUCUGAAGGCCAGAAAUCCAAAUCCAAGGUGCCAGCUGGGCAGUUUGCAUCUGGAGAGUCUAAGGGAGAGUCUGCCCGUGCCUCUCUCCCAGCUCCUGCUGGUUGCCGUCCACCUCUGGCACUGCUUGGCUUGGGGCAUCACAACUCCAGUCUCUGCCUCUACCUUCGCACGGACCUCAUCUGUGUCUCUGUGUCUUUCCUUCUUAUAGGGAUACUUCUCAUUGGAUUUAGGACCCACUUUAAAUUUAGGUUGAUCUCAUCUCAGUAGCCCUAAAUUAUAUCUGCAAAGAUCCUUUUUUCCAAAUAAGGCCACAUGUACAAGAACUGGGGUUAGGAUUUGGACAUACCUUCUUGGGAGACACAAAUCAACCUCCGAUGUUGAAUCAGGCAGGUGUGAGGAUGACUGAAAACCGGCUCUGGGGGCCCACAGUGGGCACGGUGUGGUGUACUAUGAAUUCAUGACACAGGCAGGUUGCUGUCCUGGCUGGUGUCCCCAGGGCCCCUGCACUUCCUCUGUGUACUCAUGAUGCUUUGUCCUGUGGGACCAGGCCAUCCUGUCCCAUUUAUCACCAGAGUCACACUGGCUUCUACUGGCCGGAGAGCCCUCUAAGGCCAGGGACCAGGCCUUUCCAUUCCUGUAGACCCCUUUUGCCUGGCUGAAGCUGGAAGGUCACCCUGCCUUGGGUCAGGAUGGUAGGUGGGGUAGGGACGGCCUUUUUGGUCCUCCCCUUUUGUCACACACGCUCCCCCACCCCUGGUGUGUUCUGGCCAAGUCUAUACAAGAAGUGAGGCCACACUGGAACUCUCCAAGCUGCUUCCCUCGGGCUGACAUAAGCUGGCACCCUGUGGAGCUGGGAGACUUCUGUGUCUUCCCUCCACUCCUAACAGGCAGCAUCCAGCUAGGGCCCCACAUCCCAAGCUGCCAUCCUCACCGCUCCGUCCCCACACUUGGUCAGCCCCUUGGGCCAGCUCUCCACCCUGAAGCCGAGCUUCCCACUUCUACCCCCAGGCUGAAUAGGCCUGAAUGCAGGCACAGGCACCAUGCCCAGGAGCUGUGCACACUCCAGGCCAAUUCCCACCCUCCUUUAGGGAGCUGAUGAGAAAAUCCUUGUAGAAGCUGAGAGACUGAGUCCUGCAGCUGAGGGGCUGGGUUUUCUGGGGUGUCUGCUGGCACUGCGUCGGGCAGAACAGUCUGGGUGGGUAUCCAGUGGCAGCCGUAGGACCAGAAGCCUGUGGCCCUGCUGCUCUGAGCUCAUUACUCUAUUCCAUAAGAGUGGGGGAACAAUAUGUCAUGGAGCAAUUUCUGUGUCUGGUGGAGCCGCUCCAAAGCUUCCAAGGCUCUAACAGCAAGUGCCUUUCAUUAUCCAAGGUCCCGGUUCUGCCUUUGCAGGGUCCUUGGUGGAACUGGAGUUCAGCUGGUGAGAGGGAGGGUGUGGGUGUUGGAGUGGCCGGCUCUGCCAACAGAUGGCUGAUUGGAUGCCGGGUGGGCUUAGUGACAGUUCCUGGCCGCUGGGGCUGCUGUGGCCAGGCCAGUUGAUGAGAGUCAUCACAGGUCUAAAACAAAGCCUGCGUGUUACCUGCUCUGGGCACUUCCGUCUUUGCCAUCCUGCUCCAAGUGCCAUCCUUGGCACAGACAUUUUGCAAUCGGAAGUGGACACCCAGGAACUCGGGUGACCUAUGGCAGCUGUCUGGUUCUGUCACCCUUCUUUGGCCUGGACAGAGAAGAUGCCAUGUCACUUUGUCCCUUAAGGGCCCUGUUACUCCAGGGACACGGUUCAAGGUCCAGACUUCCCUAACUCCAGCUGUUCCUUCUCUAACUUCUAGGCAUUGCUGGAAGCCAAGGGGCUGCAGCCUUUGACCCCUCUCUUACAGAUUCUUCUCAACCCUGAGAUCCUUGCAUCUGCCUAUGAGCAGGUCUCUGGGAGGCCUGAGCAGGUCUCUGGGAGGGCCCUUGUUCCAGCCACAGGGACCACCCAGAGGGAAGGGAGAGCAUCGCAAGGGUUGGGUGGUGUGUGGAAAGCAGAGGCUUAGGGGCCUGUGUCCUCUCUGGUGUUUGAGUCUGAGCCUCCAGGCUGGCCCCUUCAGCACUCAGUGCUCUGAGGUGUCUGAGACGAUCCUGGGCCUUAUUGUCUUUUCACAGGGUGGGAAAGGGAUCCUCCCAGUGGUUUGUUUCUGUGUCCAUGCCAAGCCAUGCCACGUGGUUCCCAGGCACUUGAAAUUGUGGGUUACCCUGGGGCCAGAUGUUGGGCACAAGAAAAGCAACACACAGAUGUGGGCCGCAGUCACGUCAAUCAAAUGUGCUGAGUCCUAAAAUCAAGGCUUUAAAGUGAGAGAACGGUAGUAGAAAGAGGAAGAGACGUGUUUAUAACUAAGGGGUUAAAAGGAUGGAAAACCGUGCCAUUUACUGAAUGGCGUGUCAGGCACCAUGCAAGUAGUUGACAACUCAUGACAUUUCCCCAGUAACCCUCUUACAUAAAGACAGCUAUGAUGUUUUUACUUAUUUUUAUUUUUGUUUAUUUAUUUAGUUAUUUAUUUUUUGGAGACAGGGUCUUAUUUCGUUGCCCAGGCUGGAAUGCAGUGAGGUGAUCUCAGCUCACUGUAGCUUCCACCUCCAGGCUCCAGCAAUCUUCCUACCUUAGCCUCCUGAGUAGCUGGGACUACCUGCUCACACCUGGCUAAUUUUUAAAAAAGUUUUGUAGAGAUGAGGUCUCACUAUAUUUUCCAGGUCUGACCUCAAGUUCCUGGGCUCAAAUAACCUUCCUGCCUUAGCCUUAAUCCCAAAAUGUUUGGCUUACAGGCAUGAGCCACAGCGCCCAGCAAAUUAUGUCUUUUACGGUAGUUAAGCUGAAACCUGGAGAGGUAAAGUAUUAAUAACUGGCCAGAGGUCACACAGCCUGCAUUCAAACCCAAGGCAAGCAGGCAGGCCUCAUCUGAAGGGGCUGUAAGGAUGGGAAGAACUGUUUUCCCGAUAGUUCACCAUUAAAAAUAUACAACAUACAGAAGAUUUGAAAGAACUUUGCAGUAAACACCCACACACCCACCAGUAGCCCUCAGUGGUUUUCUCUAUUUGUUUCAUUACAUAUCUCUACCCAUCCAUGAAUGCAUCUUACUUUUUAAUGUAUUUCAUAAAAAGUUGCAGACCGCCCCUGAAGGUCAGCAUGAGUAACUAGAGUUAACCAGAGUUCAGUAUUUAGUUAGUUAUGAUUAUCUUUUAUUGUUUUGGUGUAAAAUUUGCAUGUGACAAAAGUAAAUGCACACAUCUAAGUGUACUCUUUGAACUUCAUGUAAGUGGAUUCGUGCCAUGUGUACUUCUUUGCAUUUGGCUUCUUUGACUCAGCAUAAUGCUUCUGAGAUUCAUUCAUGUGGUCGUGUGUAUGGGUAAUUCCUUUUUAUUGCUGACUACUGGCCCGCUGUGUGGACAUGCCACCGUUUGUUUAUCUAUUCUACCACUGAUGGACACUGGAACCCGGUGGUAUUGAGCUAUUAGGAGGAGAGCUGCUGUGAUCAUUUGUGUGCGAGUCUUUCUGGACUAGUAUACUUGCAUUUAUCUUGGGUAUACAUGUAGGGGCGGAAUUGCUGGGACAUAGGAUAGGUGUAUGUUUAGGUUUAUUAAAAAGUGCCAUAUCGGCCGGGCGCCGUGGCUCACGCCUAUAAUCCCAGCACUUUGGGAGGCCGAGGCGGGUGGAUCAUGAGGUCAAGAGAUUGAGACCAUCCUGGUCAACAAGGUGAAACCCUGUCUCUACUAAAAAUACAAAAAUUAGCUGGGUACGGUGGUGCGCGCCUGUAGUCCCAGCUACUCGGGAAGCUGAGGCAGGAGAAUUGCUUGAACCCAGAAGGCGGAGGUUGCGGUGAGCCGAGAUUGCGCCAUUGCACUCCAGUCUGGGUAACAACCGUGAAACUCCAUCUCAAAAUAAAUAAAUAAAUAAAAAUAAAAUAAAGUGCCAUAUCUUUGUCUAAAGUGGUUUUACCAAUGUACGUUCUCCCCAAAAGUGCCCUGGCAUUCUGAUCACUUCCCAUCCUCACCACCAUGUGAUGCUGUCAGUUGUUUUAAUUUUAGCCGUUCUGGUGGUUGUACCGUGGUAUCGCAUUGUGGUUUUAAUUUGCAUUUCACCUAAUGACUAAUGACUUUGAGCGCUUUUUCACCUACUGGUUGUUGGUUUGUAUGUCUUCUUCUUGGAAGUACCUGUUCAAAUCUCUUGCCCGUUUUAAACAUUGAUUUGCUUGCUCUCUGUUGGAUAUAUGUUUUGUAAUUUUUUUCCCCCAGCCUGAUGGGCAGAAGUUGUAAAUUGUGAUGCAGUCUAACUUAAUCUGGUUUUUCGUUUAUGAUCAUUGCUUUCUGUGUCUGGGCUAAUAUAUUUGCCUACCAGGUGGAAAUAAUCUUGGGAGAAGAAAUAGACCCUGAAGGAGGAGGUAGACAGACCAGCAUGGGCACUGGCUCUGGAUGGAGAAGUGUGGGUUCUGUUGGGUGAUGGAGAGCAGCCCUUUGUAAGGGGUGUCUGGGGUUGAGGGGCAGAGGCCCAGAAAGGGAAUGCCUUCAACAUUAGGGGACUGACUGAAUUCUUUAGCCAGUGGAAUCCAUUGAAAGUUUUAGAGUAGGAAGGGAUGUGAUCACAAGACAGGGAGAUGUACAGGCCUCUUGAUGCUAGAGCCUGGGGCAGUUUUCACUCAGUCACCCUGAGGGCAGCAGCCUCAGGCCUCAAGAUGCAGGGCUGGGAACCAGGUUUAUCUCUGUGAAUUCUAGCAGCCUGUCCUGAGCCCUGAGACCACCCAGGUCUCCCCAGAUCUUCAUGGAGAUAAAUAAUCUCCAUUUAUUCUUGCAAAGGAAGCCUGAGUGCUGGUCUAGCCGUGUAGCUAGCUGGCAGCCCAGCCUCUCCUCCCAAGCCUGGGAAUGCUUGUACAUGUGGAUUUAGGGCCACCUCUCCCUGUGGCUCCAGAUGCUCAUGGGGCCCUCUCCCAUCCCCUCUGCCCUCACCUCCGCCCACUCUCACCCUUCUCUCACUCUCUCCUUGCACUUGUUCUGGGAGCAGGAACUGGAGGGUUGGGAGUCUGCUUUUCCUUCUGCCUGGAAAUCUCUUCCCCAGAUACCUGCAUCCAGGCAUAUCAUCCACAGUCACCUUUUUCAGGCGUCUUCCCUGGUCAUCCAGUUUGGAAUUGUCCCCAUUCCCGGACCCUUUCCUCUUCCUCUGUGGUGGUAUUACCAUCCGACAUCCUCUAGUCACACAUUUGCCUUGUUUAUUGCCUGUCUUCUCCCCUAGAAUGUAAAUACCAUGAAAGGUUUAUUAUUUUUUACUCUUAUUCACUGCUCUAACUGUGCCUGGAACAACAUCUGACAUUGGCAGGUCCACAGAAACAGCACAGCCCAACUGAAUGAGAGGCCCACUCCCUCAUUAUUCCCAGAACCUCUGUGUUUGAUGGCAGCUUUGGUUCUGCAGAUGAAAGAAAAUGGGGAUGAGCCCAGGGCACACCUAGGGCCACCCAGCAAAUGGGGGAAUCUUCCUUCUCCCCGUCCCCAUUGUACAGAUGAGGAAACAGACCUGGAGAGGGAAAGGACUUGGCCAAGUGCUAAACCAUAUUCACGGCAGAGAAGAAAUGGAAGUCGAUUGCCCUCGCUCCCUAUUAUUAAAAGUCCCAAUUGGCCUGGGGGAAGCUGGGGGCCAAGCAGGGAUGUUUAAGGAUGAUUAUAAUAUCUUUUGGUGCCAGAAGAUAUCUUUGUGUCUCCAAGUGGGGUUGGAGGAACUGCAGCCCAAGUGUUUUCUUUUCUGGGAAACUCAGACCUCCAUCAUUUUAACUUUUCCCAGAUGAGAUGCUGGGACCACACUCAGGGCCUGAGAAGUGGUUACAUCCAUAUCAGCCAGGCCACCCUGGCCUUGAGCUCCAAAUGAGACCAUUCAGCCUCAGUUCCACAGCCAUGGACUUCCACAGAGCCAUCCUGCCCUGGUCCUACCAGCCCCAGGAUUCUUGCCAUUUCCCAGGACACUCAUGUUUUCCUGGUGACCUGGCUCCUUCUACUGUGUAGGCUGCAGGCUGUGGACCGGGAGGGGAAAUCCAUAGGCAGCCGGGAGCACACAUAGCAUUCGUGAGAGUCAGGGCCCCCCAGAGGAUGUGGGAGGGAACUUUAUCCCAGGGUGCAGACAACUUAACACUGACCCUCACACCCCCUUCUUCAUGACAGGCAGUCCCAGUCAGUUCUCUCAGAAACCCACUGCUCAAAACACACAACACUGCUGGGCCUGUUUAAUCCAGCGCUGCCCGACCCCUCCACCACCGUGGGACCCCCGGUACCCCUCAGCCCCGCCCUCAGGCGGUUCCACUUUCCUGUGCCUUUUUACAGAGCUUACCUAGGCCUUGUCCAUCUGCCCCGAGAGGCUCCUUAAAGCACAUGCCCUGGAUGCUUCUGGAACCAACACCAGCCUUGAUCCCUGGCAUCCCUGGGCAGCAUCACAGAGACACAGGGCAAGAUGGAAGGCAACACCCACAGCUUCAUAGCUUCCUGAGACCCUCCUCUGUCUGAUGAAGGUUUUCACUCCUGCAGAUACCAUAAGAAACUUGAUGCCUUAGUAGGAGGCAGGAAGACCUUACAGCCCACAUGACUCAGGAUGUGAGGCUCCGAGAUGUUCCUCCUUUUCGGGAAUCAAAACCAGCCUGUGUGUGUUGGGACGGGGAAGACAAAUGUGAGGGUCUUGCGGGGAGGGUCUGGGAUCUCUUAAACCAGACAGAACUAUGAACAGUAGGCAGUGCCAUUUCCCAGCAAACUCCUCAGCUUGAUGUUGCUGUUUCCUGGGUCUGUGAUCCUCCUCCCCAUACCGUGCUGUGUUGACACAUCCUCAUCCUGGGGCUCAGACACUGUUGACUGGGAAAGGGUAAGAAGGAACUUUUUAGAACUGUCCUAUUCCAGCACCAUUGAGUGGAAAUCUAUUGUAAGCCACAUAUGUCGUUUUAAAUGUUGUAGCAGCCAUAUUAAAACAGGCAAAGUAAUUUUAAUAAUGUUUUAUUUAAUAUGACACAUUUGAAACAUUAUCUUGCCAGGCGCGAUGGCUCAUGCCUAUAAUCCCAGCACUCUGGGAGGCCGAGGGAGAUGGGUCACUUGAGGUCAGGAGUUCGAGAUCAUUCUGGCCAACAUGGUGAAACCCCAUCUCUACUAAAAAAAAUAUGAAAAUUAGCCGACUGUGGUGGUGCACACUUCUAAUCCCAGCUACUCGGGAGGCUGAAGCAGGAGAAUCGCUUGAAGCCAGGAGUCUUUGGAAUGAAAUCCUAUGUAUGUUUUGUGCUUACAGCACAUAUCAAUUCAGACAAGCCACUUUUAAGAGCCCAAUACCCACUUUUGUCUAGUGGCUACGGCAGUGCAGAUCUUUCUCUCUUGACCUGGGCGGUAGUUACUCAGGUGUAGAUAUAUGUAAAAAUGUGGCUAGCUGUAGACUCAAGACGUGUGCAUUUCACUGUGUGUGUUACUCUUUAAAAGUUUUAAAAACUCUUCUUCAAGGCUCUGCUCACAUGCCAUCCAUUUUCCUGAACCCACCCUGGGAUGCAAUUAGCUGCUGCUUUUGCACUGUGCUUCUGUUGUAUUUCUACUUGUACUGUAGCUGUGUCUCGCCUGUUUUCCUAUAAGCGCCCUAAGAUGAAGACCAUGGUUUGGUGUUUUUUUUAAUUACCCACAGGGGCACUGACUACCUAAUGCCGAACAAGUAAGCAUGGCUGAA